UGGGGAAUUUUGGACAAUGGGGGAAACCCUGAUCCAGCCAUCCCGCGUGUGCGAUGAAGGCCUUCGGGUUGUAAAGCACUUUUGGCAGGAAAGAAACGUCAUGGGUUAAUACCCCGUGAAACUGACGGUACCUGCAGAAUAAGCACCGGCUAACUACGUGCCAGCAGCCGCGGUAAUACGUAGGGUGCAAGCGUUAAUCGGAAUUACUGGGCGUAAAGCGUGCGCAGGCGGUUCGGAAAGAAAGAUGUGAAAUCCCAGAGCUCAACUUUGGAACUGCCGUUUUAACUGACCGGCUAGAGUGUGGUAGGGGGAGGUGGAAUUCCGAGUGUAGCAGUGAAAUGCGUAGAUAUGGGGAAGAACACCGAUGGCGAAGGCGGGCUACUGGGAUAACACUGACGCUCAUGGACGAAAGCGUGGGGAGCAAACAGG
rnacentral:rRNA from 1 species